UACGUAGGGGGCUAGCGUUGUCCGGAAUCAUUGGGCGUAAAGAGCGUGUAGGCGGUCCGGUAAGUCCGCUGUGAAAGUCGGGGGCUCAACCCUCGAAUGCCGGUGGAUACUGUCGGGCUAGAGUACGGAAGAGGCGAGUGGAAUUCCUGGUGUAGCGGUGAAAUGCGCAGAUAUCGGGAGGAACACCAAUUGCGAAGGCAGCUUGCUGGGACGGUACUGACGCUGAGGCGCGAAAGCGUGGGGAGCAAACAGG
rnacentral:rRNA from 1 species